GACGAGCGCUGGCGGCGUGCUUAACACAUGCAAGUCGAACGGAAAGGCCCUGCUUUUGUGGGGUGCUCGAGUGGCGAACGGGUGAGUAACACGUGAGUAACCUGCCCUUGACUUUGGGAUAACUUCAGGAAACUGGGGCUAAUACCGGAUAGGAGCUCCUGCUGCAUGGUGGGGGUUGGAAAGUUUCGGCGGUUGGGGAUGGACUCGCGGCUUAUCAGCUUGUUGGUGGGGUAGUGGCUUACCAAGGCUUUGACGGGUAGCCGGCCUGAGAGGGUGACCGGCCACAUGGGGACUGAGAUACGGCCCAGACGCCUACGGGAGGCAGCAGUGGGGAAUAUUGCACAAUGGGCGGAAGCCUGAUGCAGCAACGCCGCGUGCGGGAUGACGGCCUUCGGGUUGUAAACCGCUUUCGCCUGUGACGAAGCGUGAGUGACGGUAAUGGGUAAAGAAGCACCGGCUAACUACGUG
rnacentral:rRNA from 1 species